rnacentral:rRNA from 1 species
CUGGCGGCAGGCUUAACACAUGCAAGUCGAGCGGUAACAGAGAGUAGCUUGCUACUCUGCUGACGAGCGGCGGACGGGUGAGUAAUGCUUGGGAAUAUGCCUUAUGGUGGGGGACAACAGUUGGAAACGACUGCUAAUACCGCAUAACGUCUACGGACCAAAGGGGGGGAUCUUCGGACCUCUCGCCAUUUGAUUAGCCCAAGUGAGAUUAGCUAGUUGGUAAGGUAAAGGCUUACCAAGGCGACGAUCUCUAGCUGGUUUGAGAGGAUGAUCAGCCACACUGGGACUGAGACACGGCCCAGACUCCUACGGGAGGCAGCAGUGGGGAAUAUUGGACAAUGGGCGCAAGCCUGAUCCAGCAAUACCGCGUGUGUGAAGAAGGCCCUAGGGUUGUAAAGUACUUUCAGCGAGGAGGAAAGGUUAGUAGUUAAUAACUGCUAGCUGUGACGUUACUCGCAGAAGAAGGACCGGCUAACUCCGUGCCAGCAGCCGCGGUAAUACGGAGGGUCCGAGCGUUAAUCGGAAUUACUGGGCGUAAAGCGUACGCAGGCGGUUUGUUAAGCGAGAUGUGAAAGCCCCGGGCUCAACCUGGGAACUGCAUUUCGAACUGACAAACUAGAGUUUUGUAGAGGGUGGUAGAAUUUCAGGUGUAGCGGUGAAAUGCGUAGAGAUCUGAAGGAAUACCAGUGGCGAAGGCGGCCACCUGGACAAUAACUGACGCUCAUGUACGAAAGCGUGGGGAGCAAACGGGAUUAGAUACCCCGGUAGUCCACGCCGUAAACGAUGUCAACUAGCCGACUGAAUCCUUGAGAUUUGGGUGGCGCAGCUAACGCAUUAAGUUGACCGCCUGGGGAGUACGGCCGCAAGGUUAAAACUCAAAUGAAUUGACGGGGGCCCGCACAAGCGGUGGAGCAUGUGGUUUAAUUCGAUGCAACGCGAAGAACCUUACCUACUCUUGACAUCCACAGAAUUCGCUAGAGAUAGAGGAGUGCCUUCGGGAACUCUGUGACAGGUGCGCAAUGGCUGUCGUCAGCUCGUGUUGUGAAAUGUUGGGUUAAGUCCCGUAACGAGCGCAACCCCUAUCCUUAGUUACCAGCGGUUCGGCCGGGAACUCUAGGGAGACUGCCGGUGACAAAACCGGAGGAAGGGGGGACGACGUCAAGUCAUCAUGGCCCUUACGGAUUGGGCUACACACGUGCUACAAUGGGGUAUACAGAGGGUUGCGAAGCCGCGAGGUGGAGCUAAUCCCAGAAAGUAUCUCGUAGUCCGGAUUGGAGUCUGCAACUCGACUCCAUGAAGUCGGAAUCGCUAGUAAUCGCGGAUCAGAAUGCCGCGGUGAAUACGUUCCCGGGCCUUGUACACACCGCCCGUCACACCAUGGGAGUGGGUUGCACCAGAAGUAGCUAGCUUAAAAUUGGGCGGUUACCACGGUGUGAUUCAUGACUGGGGUGAAGUCGGGUCG